rnacentral:rRNA from 1 species
GUGCCAGCAGCCGCGGUAAGACUUAGGGAGCGAGCGUUAUCCGGAUUCAUUGGGCGUAAAGCGCACGCAGGCGGCCAAGUAAGUCGGGUGUGAAAUCCCGGGGCUCAACCCCGGGCGUGCAUCCGAAACUGCUUGGCUAGAGGUAGGCAGGGGAGAUCGGAAUUCCUGGUGUAGCGGUGAAAUGCGCAGAUAUCAGGAGGAACACCGGUGGCGAAGGCGGAUCUCUGGGCCUUACCUGACGCUCAGGUGCGAAAGCUAGGGGAGCGAACAGGAUUAGAAACCCCCGUAGUCC